ACUUUUAUUGGACAGCA
rnacentral:tRNA from 1 species